AAACUUCCAACAAUGGAUCUCUUGGUUCCGGCAUCGAUGAAGAACGCAGNGAAAUGCGAUAACUAAUGUGAAUUGCAGAAUUCAGUGAAUCAUCGAGUCUUUGAACGCACAUUGGGGCCCCUGGUAUUCCGGGGGGCAUGCCUGUCCGAGCGUCAUU
rnacentral:rRNA from 1 species